GACGAACGCUGGCGGCGUGCUUAACACAUGCAAGUCGAACGAAGUGGCGAACGGGUGAGUAACGCGUACUCAACCUGCCCUUCAGCGGGGGACAACAGUUGGAAACGACUGCUAAUACCGCAUACUGAUGCAGGUGAUUGCGGCGGAUUAGCUAGUUGGAGGGGUAACGGGCCACCAAGGCGAGGAUCAGUAGCCGGUGGGAGAGGUGGACCGGCCACACUGGGACUUAGACACGGCCCAGACUCCUACGGGAGGCAGCAGUGGGGAAUCUUCCGCAAUGGACGAAAGUCGGACGAAGCAACGCAGCGUGAGUGAUGACGGCCUUCGGGUUGUAAAGCUCUGUUAAUCGGGACGCGGUACCGGAAUAGAAAGCCACGGCUAACUACGUGCCAGCAGCCGCGGUAAUUC
rnacentral:rRNA from 1 species